GCCCUGGUGGUCUAGUGGUUAAGACUCAGUGCUCUCACCGCCGUGGUCCAGGUUCAUUUCCUGGUCAGGGAG
rnacentral:tRNA from 1 species